UACAGAGGUCUCAAGCGUUGUUCGGAUUCAUUGGGCGUAAAGGGUGUGUAGGUGGCGCCGUAAGUCGGGUGUGAAAUUUCGGAGCUUAACUCCGAAACUGCAUUCGAUACUGCGGUGCUUGAGGACUGGAGAGGAGACUGGAAUUCAUGGUGUAGCAAUGAAAUGCGUAGAGAUCAUGAGGAAGACCAGUGGCGAAGGCGGGUCUCUGGACAGUUCCUGACACUGAGACACGAAGGCCAGGGGAGCAAACGGG
rnacentral:rRNA from 1 species